GCUGCAGGCACGCCCAGCGGCCCCAGGCUCACCCCGUUAUUGGUCGAUCCGAGCAAAGGGCGGGGCCUAGCGCAGCAAGACCCGGGGAAGUUGGGUGAUGGGCCUAAGGCCUCAACCCUGGUGAGCAGCAGGGCGAGCCUGGAGCCUGUCUUCUGACUCCCAGGCGGGUGCUGAGCCAACCAGAGCUUUUUUGUUCCUGGUGGGAUAUAAAAUAAUGAAGCAUCUUCAGUUGAUGAAGUCUUAGAUUCAUCGGAAUGCAGUCGCUAAGAUGGGAACGUAAAGGAGGCCUGCGAGAUGGGGAGGCUUUAUGGAGGGAAUGCGCAGGCCCACAGGCCCUUAUCAGCACUUCUGAACUCCAAAGGACUCUGAAAAAAAGUAGAGUUUUUUUUUCCUUUUCCAAAUUUGGUACCAAAACUCAUUUGGCAACAAAACGUGACCUGAACUGAUGUCAAGUAAUUUAUAAUCUUUAGUUAUUCCACUUACCGUGAAGACUGAUAUGUUUAGCUCCAGACAUAUUAAUGUUUGACAGUGGAGUGUGAUUCCAGUCCCUGGGGGCAGGUGGAGCAGCAGAUGUUACCUAAUUUUGGGUCUGUGUACUGUAUUGCCUUUUAAAAAUCUAUAAAAUUCUGUAUUUCAAAACACAUCUGGACCCAAGGGCUAUAGACAUGGGGUUGUAUCUGAAGUGGGGCUUGAUUGGUGGGUAGAAUUUAUUUAUUUUUAAUUUUCAUUUUUUUAGAGACAGGGUCUUGUUUUGUCACACCAGCAGGGGUGCAGUGGUUUAAUCACAGCUCACAGCAACCUUGAAUUCUUGGGCUCAAGUGAUAUUCCUGCCUCAGCCUCCCAAGUAGCUGGGACUACA